CAGUCGCCGCGGUAAUACGUAGGUGGCAAGCGUUGUCCGGAAUUAUUGGGCGUAAAGGGCUCGCAGGCGGUUUCUUAAGUCUGAUGUGAAAGCCCCCGGCUCAACCGGGGAGGGUCAUUGGAAACUGGGAAACUUGAGUGCAGAAGAGGAGAGUGGAAUUCCACGUGUAGCGGUGAAAUGCGUAGAGAUGUGGAGGAACACCAGUGGCGAAGGCGACUCUCUGGUCUGUAACUGACGCUGAGGAGCGAAAGCGUGGGGAGCGAACAGGAUUAGAGACCCCUGUAGUCCCUGUCUCUUAACA
rnacentral:rRNA from 1 species